GGUUCUAACUCUGGUCCGUGAUCCGGAUCGAGGACAGUGUAUGGUGGGCAGUUUGACUGGGGCGGUCUCCUCCUAAAGAGUAACGGAGGAGUACGAAGGUGCGCUCAGACCGGUCGGAAAUCGGUCGCAGAGUAUAAAGGCAAAAGCGCGCUUGACUGCGAGACAGACACGUCGAGCAGGUACGAAAGUAGGUCUUAGUGAUCCGGUGGUUCUGUAUGGAAGGGCCAUCGCUCAACGGAUAAAAGGUACUCCGGG
rnacentral:rRNA from 1 species